GUGACUUGGAACAAAAUGGAGGAAAAUGCAAAUGAUUUUGUCAUUUAUGUUGUUGUUGAGUAGUUUUCCCAACGUGUGCGGUAAAAAUACAUAGCUGAGUUAGCUGCCAGGCGAGGCGGUUAGCUCAGCAAGUUGCUCUCGUGUGCGGCGGGCUUAAGGCUCCAUCAUUACUUGUCCAAUCGGAAUGAAAUUUGACAUAAUUAUUCUAAGCAAUAUAUUCCGCAUCAAUUGACGGUCUUCGAUUUUUCAUUUUUGACUUUACAAGCAAUUUUUGAUUGUAUCCGUAGCAAAUAAUAUAUACAUAUCAUUGUUGAUUUCUAUACUGCAAUAUUUAUGUUUCAGUACAGUAAGGCAAUCUCCCAAUCAAUUUUGAUCUAUAUUUUAAUAUACGCAUGCAUUUGUAUUGUACGGCCGUGUUGCGUCUAGAACAACUUUUUCCUUACCACUUAUUCGCACGAAUUAUGGUCUAUUUAAUAUUCGAUUUUGUGGACCUAAGUUAUGCAACAUAAUCGCUUAAAUCUUUAACUGAAAUUUCCUUGAAAAUAAAGGAAUUUGAAAAUCAGAUAAUCGCCUUUUACUAGAAUCAAAUUCAUAUAUCCUUAAAUUAUCUACUUAUAGCAUGUACGUAUCUAUGACUAUGUAUAUUAUUGGCUCAGUGUGUUUUUCUUUUUUUGUUAUUGUAUUAUGUUGUAUCAUAACUGGUAUUGUUUUUUGUUUUGAAAUUAUGUAAAUUGCUCGUUGAACUAGCUGCUUUUUUUCCCAGUUAUACAAUUUCAAAGUCACCUGCCAAGUCUAGCUCCUUAAUAGUUACUUCAGGUGACCUAUACUCAUCUCUUGUAAAUUCAUCUGCAAUAUAAUUUCUUUGUAAUUUCUGAGUAUUAGUAAAAUUGUUAUUGUUGUUGUUGUUGUUGUUGUCGUUGUUGUCGUUGUUGUUGUUGUUGUUGUUGUUAUUGUUGUUGUUGUUGUUGUUGUUGUUGUUGUUGCAUCUUGUAAUUUAAGUUCAAACCGCACUACUGUACGUUUGUAAUACUAUUGCAUUUAUCGCUUUAAGCUUGGAAUUUUAAAGGUAUACCUAACCUACAUCUAUUUGGAAUAUUGUCAAAAGUUACUUACGUUAGUCCUAGUGUCACGAACUAUCAUUCUCAAAAUACAUCUUUCCGGAAUUUAAAUCCUCAGGUGCAUGAAAACGGCAUUAUUUUUUGGUAGCAGUGGGACUGUUUUUAAAUAUUGUCAACAAAAUAUAUACAUUUUGUUGACGGCAAACGUCGUCGUAUUUUGAGGUCAACUGUUAGCUGUCCAAGUUAGGGCAACUUGUGCAAUAAAAUUGAAGCAUAAAUGAGAUACUUAGCUGUCGAAAACUUGCAGAACUUCACGAAAAUGCGAUUUGAAGUUUGUUGUUUGCUGUCUCUCGUAAACGUCGAUCUGAAAGUCUCUGUUAUCGAUUCG